rnacentral:rRNA from 1 species
GAUGAACGCUGGCGGCGUGCCUAAUACAUGCAAGUCGAGCGAACAGACGAGGAGCUUGCUCCUCUGACGUUAGCGGCGGACGGGUGAGUAACACGUGGAUAACCUACCUAUAAGACUGGGAUAACUUCGGGAAACCGGAGCUAAUACCGGAUAAUAUAUUGAACCGCAUGGUUCAAUAGUGAAAGACGGUUUUGCUGUCACUUAUACAUGGAUCCGCGCCGCAUUAGCUAGUUGGUAAGGUAACGGCUUACCAAGGCAACGAUGCGUAGCCGACCUGAGAGAGUGAUCGGCCACACUGGAACUGAGACACGGUCCAGACUCCUAAGGGAGGCAGCAGUAGGGAAUCUUCCGCAAUGGGCGAAAGCUUGACGGAGCAACGCCGCGUGAGUGAUGAAGGUCUUCGGAUCGUAAAACUCUGUUAUUAGGGAAGAACAAAUGUGUAAGUAAAUAUGCACGUCUUGACGGUACCUAAUCAGAAAGCCACGGCUAACUACGUG